rnacentral:rRNA from 1 species
UACGGAGGGGGCUAGCGUUGUUCGGAAUUACUGGGCGUAAAGCGCACGUAGGCGGCUUUGUAAGUUAGAGGUGAAAGCCCGGGGCUCAACUCCGGAAUUGCCUUUAAGACUGCAUCGCUAGAAUUGUGGAGAGGUAAGUGGAAUUCCGAGUGUAGAGGUGAAAUUCGUAGAUAUUCGGAAGAACACCAGUGGCGAAGGCGACUUACUGGACAGAUAUUGACGCUGGGGUGCGAAAGCGUGGGGAGCAAACAGG